CCUGCCACUGCACCUGAAAAGUUCUCUGUUGGCUGUUGCAAUCCAAUGGUGAGCUGAUACUAAACCCCAGCUUAGGAAAGAAGGUUGUUGGGUGACUCUGUGCCAAAAGCAAAGGAACAGCC
rnacentral:snoRNA from 1 species